rnacentral:lncRNA from 1 species
GACACUGUUUCAGAGCAGAGCAGGGCACAAAAAGUUGUUUUAUUUUUAGUAUAGUUACAAAUUCUCAAGCCAAACUUCUACGAGAGAGGUUGCAACCUUUUUCCACCCACCUGCAAUAAACGAGGAGCUGCAAAAGACAACCCAAAUCGAAACAGAAAUUAGUCAGAUGCAUAUAGCAAGAAUUCAACACUUAAAAUCCUUCACAUCGAGCAGCAAGGAAACAUAAGAGAAUCUCACUCAAUUUUGUGAUACAUAAUUGUCAUAUGACCGGUAAACAAACUCUGACAUGUAAAACAUGUCCUGCUCAUUUUUAUGAUUCUGCAAAUGAGCCAUCCGAUAUCUCAAAUAUGUUUUGCGCAUAGAAAUUCAAACGACCUAAGAAUCAUCAAGCUACAAAUAAAGGGCAAUAAGCUGAAACCCAAGGUGAUGUAUGAAAGAAUCAAGCUACAAACAAGGGACUGUAGAAUUAAUCUUGGCCAUCGAGUCUAUUUUACAACAUAACCAAUCAAAGCCAAAAUAAGAAAAUUAACACCACCAGGAAUUUCUCAAGUCAAUGCCUUCAGAUAAUUCUGUAGGCUAUCCUAGUGAAUGAUAACAAAACGGAAACUAAAUAACCAUUGUGAAUGAAAGAAUAGCCUAGUCAUCUUUGAAGAAAGACAAAUGCAUUUAGGCCCACAGAGUUAAGGAAAAAACCACAAAACCAAACUAAAGGAUAUAUGCUUUCUAAUUUGUCAAAAGAUCAACAGCAUCUGCCAACAAACCAAAGACCAAACAUGCCUAUCAAUAAUCCAACAUUCUACAUUUGGUCUGCAUGCACGAGCAUAUAUGAUCAUCAAAAACUGAUCAGUUUCAUUCUUCCCACCCAAAUAAAUUGUUGAGGUUAUAAAAAUAAUAAUAAUUUGCCCGUGCUAACAUCUCCUAAAAUUUGAGCUGCUCAUUUUGCAUAGACAAGAAUUUGCAAUACACCAACUCAGAAACUUUCUUUUUAAGAUAUAAAAAAUAUUAAUCUCAUAUGUCAAUGGUUUGUUCUCAGGUUUCAUUCUUAUUUUGGGAGCCGGGUGAGCUGGUUUUUAUUUGUAUCGGAUAUUUUGAAGUUUGGCUUCAACUAAUAGACUUUGGGUUACUUCCAAAUUAUAAAUCACAUUUUUAGCUACUACAAACAUGACUCAAAGUUUGUUCAUCUUAAGUCCAAUACUAAAAGAAGCAACACAACAAAUCCAAUCUGCAUAGAGUCUAACCAAAUAAAUAAAAUAGCUCCUAAGAAUAAAAGAUCAAGUCAUUACCACAAAACAGUUUUAAAACACACUCAAGUACACCGUAAAGUAUCAAUGAUAUUAAGGUGGGGCAGAUUCAGAGGGAUUUUAUGUGGGGAGGUGGGGCUCUUGAGAGAAAACCUCAUUUAGUAAGGUCGACAACAGUUUGCCUAGAUAAAAGAAAAGGGAGGUUGGGGGUGAAGAGCCUUGCUCUGCUCGAUAAGGCUCUUCUUGGCAAAUGGAGUUGGCACUUUGCAAAUGAAAAAGAGGCUUUUUGGAACCAAGUAAUAAGGGGGCAAAUAUGGGGAGUAACGUGGUGGGUGGUGUUCGCGGGAGUUAGAGAGGGGUAUGGUGUAGGCAUGUGGAAAGCAAUUAGGAAGUUUGGGCACCUUGUUAGCUCUAGAAUUUCUUUUGUGGUGGGAAAUGGGCAGAGAUGUGUUUUUGAUGGAACUACACCUUUGUGCAAAUCUUUUCCCACCUUAUUUGCAUUAGCUACUUCAAAGAGGCUUAAUUCCUAUUUUCUAAUUAAAUAAAAACCCCUUUAAAGGCAAAAACAUCUGCACCCUUAUGGCUCUGGCUGUUCAUAGAAAUGAAAUUCUGUAUUGCUCUUUCAAGAAGAUGAAGGCGUCGUUCUUCUCUUUGUACCCAGAUUUUACUUUACAAUUCCAAAUUUAACUGAAUCCUUUCGCAACACAUAAGCAGUAAACACGGGCAAAUGCAUACACAUACAAGGAUCACGUAACAGCUUUGUCAACAACACAGUACAACAUUAAUACUCACCCAAAGUAUAGAAAUGCAGUGCACAAAAUAAACACAGUACCUCAAAUUCUAAGCGGUUUGGGCGGGAAUCAUCCCGGUCUUCCUCGCAUACGCGAAAAUCCCACCGGCCUCAAUUACCGGUCCGACAUCCCCAACUGGAUUCAAUUUAUACUCCUUUCCUGUGGUAUGGUUGAUCAACUUGCUCUCUCCAAGCUCAAUGGUGACAACGUCUCCAGUACGGCACUCCUCGCAAAUCCUAACCUCCGUUUCCAAAGGAUAAACCUCGCCAGUGGACACAGAGUUCCGGAAGAAGAUCCGCGCGUACGACUCAGCCACUACGGCUCUGGCGCCGGCGGCGCCCAACGCCACUGGCGCGUGCUCGCGGGAGGAGCCGCAUCCGAAGUUUUGGCCGGCGAUGACGAUGGUGUACUUGGUUUUCAACUCGCCGGCUUCAAUGAAGCGGGUUUCAUAGGACGAGGGAAGGCCGAUGAAGGCGUAAGAGCCGAGCUUUUGGUACUCGUCGGGGUUAGAUGGGACGAGGGUGAGGUACUCAGCGGGGAUGAUUUGGUCCGUAUCAAUGUUGUCGUGGACGACGUAGCAGAGGCCGUGAAAUGAGGUGGAGCUGGCAGUAACAGUGGUGGACCGACGAGUGGAGGCGGCGGUAGUGGCGGUAGUGAAGGGGAUAGUCGUGAGAGAUUUGAAGGGGAAUUUACGAGAGAUUGCGGUGGAGAAUCGGAGACAUGAGUGAGGAGAGAGAGAAGCGUGGGGCUUGUGCGAAGACGUGAGGUUAGGGUUUCCUGAAAGGGCUGCCGAAGCUGUUGAAGCCGCCAUGGAUGUGAGCUU